rnacentral:rRNA from 1 species
UACGGAGGGUGCAACCGUUGCUCGGAAUUAUUGGGCGUAAAGCGCACGUAGGCGGCCGAUUAAGUCGGGUGUGAAAGCCCUGGGCUCAACCCAGGAAGUGCACUCGAAACUGGACGGCUUGAAUAUGGAAGAGGGUCGCGGAAUUCCCGGUGUAGAGGUGAAAUUCGUAGAUAUCGGGAGGAACACCAGUGGCGAAGGCGGCGACCUGGGCCAAUAUUGACGCUGAGGUGCGAAAGCGUGGGGAGCAAACAGG